rnacentral:rRNA from 1 species
CCUACGGGAGGCAGCAGUGGGGAAUAUUGCACAAUGGGGGAAACCCUGAUGCAGCGACGCCGCGUGAGUGAAGAAGUAUUUCGGUACGUAAAGCUCUAUCAGCAGGGAAGAAAAUGACGGUACCUGACUAAGAAGCCCCGGCUAACUACGUGCCAGCAGCCGCGGUAAUACGUAGGGGGCAAGCGUUAUCCGGAUUUACUGGGUGUAAAGGGAGCGUAGACGGCAGCGCAAGUCUGGAGUGAAAUCCCAUGGCUUAACAAUGGAACUGCUUUGGAAACUGUGCAGCUAGAGUGCAGGAGAGGUAAGCGGAAUUCCUAGUGUAGCGGUGAAAUGCGUAGAUAUUAGGAGGAACACCAGUGGCGAAGGCGGCUUACUGGACUGUAACUGACGUUGAGGCUCGAAAGCGUGGGGAGCAAACAGGAUUAGAUACCCCUGUAGUC